GAUGGGAGUGAGCGCAGGACUUAUCUUUCUGUAUUUGUAUCCAUUUUUUGUCUGCGCUGUGUGUGUUCCAGGUUAGUGUCUGUACCCUGUGUGUGUGUUCCAGGAUCAGUGUAUCUGUGUGCUGUGUAUGUUCCAGGUUAGUGUCUGUGCACUGUGUGUGUUCCGGGAUAGUGUCUGUGCGCUCUGUGAGGUCCAGGUUAGUGUCUGUACGCUCUGUGUGUUCCAGGAUCAGUGUAUCUGUGUGCUAUGUAUGUUCCAGGUUUGUGUCUGUACGCUGUGUGUGUUCCAGAUUUGUGUCUGUACGCUGUGUGUGUUCCAGGAUCAGUGUAUGUGUGUGCUGUGUAUGUUCCAGGUUUGUGUCUGUACACUGUGUGUGUUCCAGGUUAGUGUCUGUACGCUGUGUGUGUUCCAGGUUAGUGUCUGUACGCUGUGUGUGUUCCAGGUUAGUGUCUGUACGCUGUGUGUGUUCCAGGUUAGUGUCUACGCUAUGUGUGUUCCAGGAUCAGUGUAUCUGUGUGCUGUGUAUGUUCCAGGUUUGUGUCUGUAAGCUGUGUGUGUUCCAGGUUUGUGUCUGCACGCUGUGUGUGUUCCAGGUUAGUGUCUACGCUCUGUGUGUUCCAGGAUCAGUGUAUCUGUGUGCUAUGUAUGUUCCAGGUUUGUGUCUGUAAGCUGUGUGUGUUCCAGGUUAGUGUCUACGCUCUGUGUGUUCCAGGAUCAGUGUAUCUGUGUGCUGUGUAUGUUCCAGGUUUGUGUCUGUAAGCUGUGUGUGUUCCAGGUUAGUGUCUAUGCUCUGUGUGUUCCAGGAUCAGUGUAUCUGUGUGCUAUGUAUGUUCCAGGUUUGUGUCUGUAAGCUGUGUGUGUUCCAGGUUAGUGUCUAUGCUCU